AGAGCUAUAGCUUAGUGGUUACAGCGCACGCCCUAUAAGCGUGAGAUCUUGGGUUCGAUCCCCAAUAGCUCUA